GAUGAAGAACGCAGCGAAAUGCGAUAAGUAGUGUGAAUUGCAGAAUUCAGUGAAUCAUCGAAUCUUUGAACGCACAUUGCGCCCUUUGGUAUUCCAAAGGGCGUGCCUGUUCGAGCGUCAUUUGUACCCUCAAGCUUUGCUUGGUGUUGGGCGUCUUGUCUCUAGCUUUGCUGGAGACUCGCCUUAAAGUAAUUGGCAGCCGGCCUACUGGUUUCGGAGCGCAGCACAAGUCGCACUCUCUAUCAGCAAAGGUCUAGCAUCCAUUAAGCCUUUUUUUCAACUUUUGACCUCGGAUCAGGUAGGGAUACCCGCUGAACUUAAGCAUAUCAAUAAGCGGAGGA
rnacentral:misc_RNA from 1 species